CCUACGGGUGGCUGCAGUGGGGAAUAUUGGACAAUGGGGGGAACCCUGAUCCAGCCAUGCCGCGUGUGUGAAGAAGGCCCUCGGGUUGUAAAGCACUUUCAGUGAGGAAGAACGCCUGGUGGUUAAUACCCAUCAGGAAAGACAUCACUCACAGAAGAAGCACCGGCUAACUCCGUGCCAGCAGCCGCGGUAAUACGGAGGGUGCGAGCGUUAAUCGGAAUUACUGGGCGUAAAGCGCGCGUAGGUGGCUUGAUAAGCCGGUUGUGAAAGCCCCGGGCUCAACCUGGGAACGGCAUCCGGAACUGUCAAGCUAGAGUGCAGGAGAGGAAGGUAGAAUUCCCGGUGUAGCGGUGAAAUGCGUAGAGAUCGGGAGGAAUACCAGUGGCGAAGGCGGCCUUCUGGACUGACACUGACACUGAGGUGCGAGAGCGUGGGUAGCAAACAGGCUUAGAUACCCCUGUAGUA
rnacentral:rRNA from 1 species